UAGGGAAUCUUCGGCAAUGGGGGCAACCCUGACCGAGCAACGCCGCGUGAGUGAAGAAGGUUUUCGGAUCGUAAAGCUCUGUUGUAAGAGAAGAACGUGUGUGAGAGUGGAAAGUUCACACAGUGACGGUAACUUACCAGAAAGGGACGGCUAACUACGUGCCAGCUGCCGCGGUAAUACGUAGGUCCCGAGCGUUGUCCGGAUUUAUUGGGCGUAAAGCGAGCGCAGGCGGUUUAAUAAGUCUGAAGUUAAAGGCAGUGGCUUAACCAUUGUUCGCUUUGGAAACUGUUAAACUGGAGUGCAGAAGGGGAGAGUGGAAUUCCAUGUGUAGCGGUGAAAUGCGUAGAUAUAUGGAGGAACACCGGUGGCGAAAGCGGCUCUCUGGUCUGUAACUGACGCUGAGGCUCGAAAGCGUGGGGAGCAAACAGG
rnacentral:rRNA from 1 species